UAAACAGUUUUGCUCAAGUAGGGCAUCCAAUUACUACAAACCUUGUUUGGUAUAAAAACUAACUGCAUAGAAAAAUAUUGCCUUAGCAAGGUUUAACUGGUUGUUAAUCCAAACAUGUGGGAGAGCCCGAAUUCCAGGGCUCAAAAUAUCCUCCCGAUUCUCAGCAGCAUCCGAACGUCCAGAGAUCAUAAUCAUCACUCUCAACGAGGCGUGACUCAGAGGUAUCGUAUGGAAAGAGGACAUUUCCAGAAAAACCAUGGUAUGGAAACCAAGCCUGCGGGGAGAGGCAAGGCGUCCCUUAGGUGGCAGUUGGCAGUCAGAAAGAUCCUAAACGACUUUGGAGCCAUUUGAGUGGAAAGGAACGUGAAGUGUCAGCUUACCCCAGCGCACAGACACAGCAGCCCUGCCACAGGGCAGCAGGCUCCUGGCUCAGCUCACUGGAUUCCCUGCCACAGGCAAUACACUCAACUCAAAGAAUCAUGGAGUACCAGGAGACUUGGCCUACAGAAUCAUCGGCUCCACCACCCCUCUCUCUGCUGGCUAGCAGGCAGAUAACAAAAUCAUCCUACCAUGUUGAUUCAUGCAGAUCACAUUAACUUAAGAAUUCCAAAGACGGGGAUUUCAUAAUCCUCCCUGGUUGUUCAUUCCAAUCUCACAGCCCUAUCAACCAAGACCUUCUUCAUCUCUCACCCUAAUCUCCCCUGAUGCAAUUCUAGCCUCUCAGUUUUUUUCUGUCUUCACUAGAAAUGAAAAACAGAUGGACACCAUAUUCUGCAUAAUAACCCGUCAUAAACUGGGGGACCAUUAUUAAAUCAACCGAUCAACUAGGUCCUUGUCUUCUUCGGGUUAAAUGACGCCAGUGCCUUCAGCUUUCCUCAUAGUUGCUGGUUUCUAACUCUUAUUAUUUUCAUGACCCUAUGUCACUCAAAUUGUAGAGGCCUGAACUCGAAAUUUUAUAAGGAUUCAACUAAUACUAACUAAAUGCGUGUGUGUGUGAGUUUGUGUAUGUUCGUGUAGGAGGGAGGUUUAGCUCACAGUUCCAACGAGUUAAUUCUUUUAACUUUUUCUUUGUGAAGGAUAUCAGAAAGAGUUUAUAUAACAUACACGCACAGUUUAAAAAAGCAAAAUGAAAUGAGAGCGCAUGCACCCACCACAAGUUAUUUUUGCUAUUAAAACUAAGCUUGUGUUUGAUUUUGCUUUAUUUGAGAGGGGGUGGAAGGUGAUUACAUUUUAAAUCACAUUUACAUUUGGAUUUCAUGGAUUAGAUUUUAAACCAAUGAUACUUUUUUAACUCGUACACACGUUUGUUAUAGCCUCCUUCAAAUCUGACAAAAUGUAGCCGAGGCGUGAAAAUUUAAUAUGACAGCACAUUCUAAAAAGUCCCAACCUACGUCAAGAAGUCUUUAAAAGGGGGGAUGUUUCGAAGGAGACAAGUUUUAUUAAGAGUCUAGUUCUCUAUUAUUAAAAUAUUCAUGUCUGAGCUAAAACAAUGUUUUCAUCAGGAAAUGUCAGGAAACAGGCCAUUUAAUCAUGUUUCUCUCAGAUGAUAUUUGAUGGUAUCACUCCCAUCAUUCAAACAAACUGCCAAGAAGCAGAUGUGCCUGGGAUCCAAGCGAGUUAGAGAUUCAAAACUCCCUAGAGUUAUUGUCAGGCAUUUUCUACUUCUUAUCAGUCCAAAAGAUACCACUUCAUGAAAACGUCUGAAAUUAGUAACACCAACCAAUCGCCAUCAUUUUGUAUGCUUUAGAGAAAAAUAUGUUAGUGAGGUGCCAUUGUAUCAUUGAUACAUAGCUUUCCGUUUAUAGAAAGCUGAUCCAUCUGAAUCUGCUAGAGUCAAAAGCCAAAGAGCUUCCUGGAGAUAAAGCCACAACUUUCAGUUCAAAGAUUUGCAAGUGCUUGUUCUCAAGAGUCUGAUAUUCCUACCUCUCUCAUCACAGAGGGCCUAUCCUGUGCCUAACUGAAGAAAAGGCCUCAGUUUACCUUCUUGGCUCUACUUCUUCCAGAGCUCUUGGUUGUCAACUUUUCAUGUUGUAAAAAACAGUCGGAAG
ensembl:lncRNA